rnacentral:tRNA from 1 species
GGAAACAGAACUUGAUCGGUUGAGUGUCUCUCUUUUAAAGAGAAAGUCCCAGUUCAAAUCUGGGUGUUUUCA